rnacentral:lncRNA from 1 species
AAGAAGGACAAUAACAAGGAGUACAGGAAAGAAGGACAAUAACAAGGAGUACAGGAAAGAAGGAUAAUAACAAGGAGUACAGGAAAGAAGGACAAUAACAAGGAGUACAAGAAAGAAGGACAAUAACAAGGAGUACAGGAAAGAAGGACAAUAACAAGGAGUACAGGAAAGAAGGACAAUAACAAGGAGUACAAGGAAAGAAAGGACCAAUAAUAACAAGGAGUACAGGAAAGAAGGACAAUAACAAGGAGUACAAGAAAGAAGGACAAUAACAAGGAGUACAGGAAAGAAGGACAAUAACAAGGAGUACAAGAAAGAAAGACAAUAACAAGGAGUACAGGAAAGAAGGACAAUAACAAGGAGUACAGGAAAGAAGGACAAUAACAAGGAGUACAAGAAAGAAGGACAAUAACAAGGAGUACAGGAAAGAAGGACAAUAACAAGGAGUACAAGAAAGAAGGAUAAUAACAAGGAGUACAAGAAAGAAAGAUAAUAACAAGG